UACCUGCAGCUCAAGUGGUGACCACUAUUAUUGGGCCUAAAACGUUCGUAGCCGGUUUAUUAAAUGCUUGGGUAAAUCGUGUAUCUUAACUAUACGAAUUCCGGGUAGACUGAUAGACUUGAGACCGGGAGAAGCUAGAGGUACUCCUGGGGUAGAGGUGAAAUUCUGUAAUCCUGGGGGGACCACCGGUGGCGAAGGCGUCUAGCUAGAACGGGUCUGACGGUGAGGAACGAAGCCCUGGGGCGCAAACCGGAUUAGAUACCCGGGUAGUCCAGGGUGUAAACGCUGCUUGCUUGAUGUUAGUUGGGCUCCGAGCCCAAUUAGUGUCGGAGAGAAGUUGUUAAGCAAGCUGCCUGGGAGGUACGAUCGCAAGAUUGAAACUUAAAGGAAUUGGCGGGGGAGCACAGCAACGGGUGGAGCGUGCGGUUU
rnacentral:rRNA from 1 species